UGAGAUAUUCUAUAGACGAAAAGCAGUAAGUCACGGAUCUUUACUGUUCCAUGAAACACAAAAAUAAUGAAAUCAAGAUAUUCUAAAUAAAUUAAAUGUUUAUAAAUAAGAAGAUUCUAACAAAAAUUAGAAAUAAAUAAAAAUGGAAGAAUACAUUUCUUAAAUAAUGUUACUGUUAGAGUGGUGGAAAGAUCUCACAAAUGGGAUUUGAUGAUGCCAUUUUGCAGCACAUUUCAGGGUUGUCUCCGAAAAUGCGGUUUACAUCGUUCAAUUAAUGACAUAGCAAUUGGACACUCCACAAUAAUUGGCUUCACCAGCCUAUAUGUACACCAUCAAUUGUUGGUAAUUUUCUUCAACAAUUUCAGCAUUUUAUGAUUAUUUGUAAUGGCAUUGUACAGACCAAUGAAUGGAUGUAAAGGGUAAAAACUAAAAUAGUACUUGUUCAUGUUUCAGUAAUCUUUUAUUCAGUUAAUAAUUUAUGUUUAUUUAUUCGAAACAAGAAAGCCGUUGACGAUUAUUUUUUUUCUUCAUGUAUGAGAAAAUGAUUAUUUUGAAUUAUGUUAAUUUUAAUUAUCGAAGGACAUAUAACUAAUUUUUAAGCACUUUGCCAUAGACUCGAUCAAUUUUACAAAGCCAGUAUCUUUUGGUUUUUCCAGUCCUCUCAAAACUCUAUUCUUCAUAACAGCGACAAAUUCUUUGUUACUUAGUUGACCGUCCACUGUAAAUACACAAGAAAUGAAAUCAUGAUUUUUCUCUAGCAUAAACGUACAGUUGCUAUGUUUGUUUUGUUUGUUUUAGUAAGAAAAAUACUUACUGUUCUCAUCAAAAAUAGUAUAAACUACUUGUAUGACGUGAUCACUCAAAUCCACAUGUGCUACUGUCUUUGCAACAUGCUUCAAAGUAGCUAGAAAGAAAAAAAAAUUUUGUUGUACAAAUAUGAAACAGAGAUAUUAAAGCAAA